AACAUAAAACUAAUUAUUCAUUAUUAUUCUUAGAAAUUUUAUAGACCUAUUCGAGACAAUAGCAAUACAGGUCAAGUCAAAAAUAAAGCCAGAACAUUAGUUGCUCAACUUUACUAAAAGAUGAGUCUUCAUGAUGAAGAUGCUUCAUUUAGUUACAAAACUUACACUGAUCUCCACAAUUCAUUGACUCCUACAAAUGAAGGCCAUUCCUCAUUUGAAAAUAGCAUUCAGUCAGUACGUGAGAUGAUCCGUCAAAGAGAAAAGCUGAAUAAAAGUGUUAACACUUCAAGCACCAAGAAAAUAAUGCAGUCACCAACAGAUAACGAAUCUCCUGAAGAAUCUGUCACCGAUGUAAAAGAUAAAGUGAAAUCCAUGGUGCAACAAUUUGAAUCAAAGAUAUGUCAAAGUCUUUCAUCUAAAUUGAACGGCAUUGAUUUUACGAGUAAUUCAGAUUGUAAUAUUGGUCAUCAAUACAGUUUGUGUUUCACCACUCCUUUGUUUCAAAGCAAAGAGGAGACAAUGGCAAACUGUAGUCAAGAAUCAAUGACUUUUAAAACACCAAACAAUUUGGAAAAGUAUCCAGUGAAUACUUCCCAUAAUGAAUAUGAAUCACAGUUUGACACAAAGAAAUCCAUAGACUGGAAUGUGAGCAAUCCUGAUUUAGGAUUCUGUACAUUUACAAAAUAUGUCAAGCAAGAUAAUCCAACAGCUUCUACUCGCUAUAGUUUAAUAAAUCACCAAACAUUUAAUGAAUGGAUGCCGUUCAGCAAUCAAACAAAAGAUAUUACCAUGUCCACACCUGUACCUGGCCUUAUUAUUACAAACUCUAAUGUUAACACCACUAUUGUUCAGCUUUAUCCAGAAAAUUUGAAUUCAUCAGUUUCUGAAAUGAAAGAAAGCUUCCACAAACUCUUGGAGCACACUAGAACAGAAACUAAAAAUGAUGAAUGCAAUGGUAAUAAAACUGUACAUGAUGAAAUGGCCGACUCCUUCCAAUUAUUUCAACUUGAUAACCAAUUUAAUUGUGCUGUUUCUGAAACUUCUACGCAUAGAGAAUUUUCUGAUGCAAGUUAUAUAGUUCCUGUCAAGACUCAAGAACAACAUACCAACUUUAAUCAAUCUGCUACACAAACAGCUGAAAUACAAACCAAGAGUGAAGAGGAAAUCCUGAAGAGGUCUUCAGUUGAUAACCUAAUCACUGCAUUUUCAUAUGGUCAAGAUGCUGAUGCUAAGAGAGUUCCAACUCUUAGUGAUUAUUUUAGCCUCGAUGUUUCACCUAUAAGUCCAGAACAUAAUCCUUCAAAAAAUGUUCAUAAAAAUUGCAUUUCUUCAAAAUGGAUUGUUACAGAACUUAACUGUAUUUGCCCUGAAUUACAAAUAGAUUAUGAUCCUAAUGAAAAGUCUGCUAUAUUAAAACUGAUGAAGGCAUUUGAUGAUCUCAAAAGACUUGUGUCUUCUCUCAAGGAUGAUGGGAAAAAUACAGCAGAGCUUUUUGAGGAAAAUAAAACAGAAAUGAAGAUCAUUUGGAAGCAUAUGAAAGAAUUACAAGCUAAAUAUAGCAGACUUCAUUCCCAGUCCAUUAAAGAUAAUUUAAAACUUGUUGAGCUAAGUGACCGUGAUUCCCAAAUGGAACAGAUGAAAGCAAUUCUCAUUAAACGAAUAAAUCAUUUACAGGACAAUUCUCAUACUUCUGACAUGACACUUUUUCAAUUAGUGAAUACACUCUUAAAAGUAGAAUUACAGGCAACUGAAAAAAAGUUUCUAAAACAGAUUAAAGACAUUAAACAUAGGCAUUAUCUGCAAAAAAUGAACGGAAGCAUUAGAAAUGUACAUUAUAUGCACUAUCAAGACACACAAGAUAGUUUCAACAAAAGCUCUGAAAAUGAAAAACAAAGACAAAUUAAACAUCUUACAGAAGAAAUUAUGAAUCUGGAAGAUGUAAUUGAAACUAAAAAUUCUAAACUGAUGCAAAUAGUAAGGGAGAAAAGCCAACUUGAAGAUGAUUUAAAAAUGGCACAUCAGAAGAUUUAUCAAUUAGAGAAAAUAAACAAAUUAUCAAAGAUGAGUGUCAGUCAACAAAUGUAUAAACAAAACAAAUUCCAAAAGGAAACUGUGUUAUGGAAGGGAAACUGCUAUUGAUGAAAUAAAUGGUAGGAAUAAAUUGUUUUACUGGCAAUCUCUUUGAGAUAGAGAAGAUUUAUAACAGAAAUACAAUACUUGAAACUGAAAGUGAGAAAAAAAAAAAGAAUUGGCAGCCCCAGAAGAAUUAUCAUGAACACCUUUUUUCAAAUGUUUCCAGUGGGAUUCUUUUUUAAGACUCUUUAAAUAUUUUCUUCAUUAGACAAAGAAGAUAUUAAAAUUAACUGAAGAUUUAUGUUACAUGAUUUCAUGUAAAUUGCCCCAAGAUUUAAAACAAAAAAAAAAUUCAUACUUUGCAGUUCUUUCAUCUAAGACUCUUCCUCAUUGUUCACACCUUUCAUUUUUUAAAUAAAAUAGCGUAAACUUUAUUGUGAAGACCUGAAAUAAAAUAGAAAC